rnacentral:rRNA from 1 species
AAUUCGAUGCAACGCGAAAACCUUACCUACCUUUGACAUGUACGGAAUUCGCCAGAGAUGGCUUAGUGCUCGAAAGAGAGCCGUAACACAGGUGCUGCAUGGCUGUCGUCAGCUCGUGUCGUGAGAUGUUGGGUUAAGUCCCGCAACGAGCGCAACCCUUGUCAUUAGUUGCUACAUUUAGUUGGGCACUCUAAUGAGACUGCCGGUGACAAACCGGAGGAAGGUGGGGAUGACGUCAAGUCCUCAUGGCCCUUAUAGGUAGGGCUACACACGUCAUACAAUGGAUGGUACAAAGGGUCGCCAACCCGCGAGGGGGAGCCAAUCCCAUAAAACCAUUCGUAGUCCGGAUCGCAGUCUGCAACUCGACUGCGUGAAGUCGGAAUCGCUAGUAAUCGUGGAUCAGAAUGUCACGGUGAAUACGUUCCCGGGUCUU